AUUGAACGCUGGCGGAAUGCUUUACACAUGCAAGUCGAGCGGCAGCGCGGGGGCAACCCUGGCGGCGAGCGGCGAACGGGUGAGUAACAUAUCGGAACGUACCCCGUCGUGGGGGAUAACACAGCGAAAGCUGUGCUAAUACCGCAUACGACCUGAGGGUGAAAGCGGGGGAUCGCAAGACCUCGCGCGAUGGGAGCGGCCGAUAUCGGAUUAGCUUGUUGGUGAGGUAAAGGCUCACCAAGGCGACGAUCCGUAGCUGGUCUGAGAGGACGACCAGCCACACUGGAACUGAGACACGGUCCAGACUCCUACGGGAGGCAGCAGUGGGGAAUUUUGGGACAAUGGGGGGCAACCCUGAUCCAGCCAUGCCGCGUGAGUGAAGAAGGCCU
rnacentral:rRNA from 1 species